AUAAAGCAAAAAGAAAUUGCCAACAAUGUCAUUGAUGGCUAUGGAGAGAUCCUUUUGGCUGACCAAAUCAGAGAGAAACAACAACCAACCUCAUUUUUUUUCACAUCCAUGUGCUUAAAUUUCAUCAACAUGACAGAAAAUCAAAGUUUUCGAGUGUCCUUAUUUGACAAGCAUAUCGAAACAGCAUGGAGGAACUACAGGUUCCUCCAUUUCCCAAUAAAUACUGGAGGUAAUGAAAAGUCCACACAUGGAAAUCACUGGACCUUGCUUGUCCUAGACAAACAAGACAAUUUAUGGAGGUUCUACAACUCACUAAGGCCAAGGAGGGAUGAUGCAGAAGACAAAUAUGUCAAAGAUGCAAAAGAAUUGGUAACGAGUGCAAUUUUCUCUGAUCCAUCAUCAGCUUUAUGUGAUGAUAAUUUUCAUAGAAUCCCAUCGAUUUGUCCGUAAAUUUCUCUUUUAUUUAAAAAUUAUUUUUUUGCAGCAAGAUUACGUGGAGAAUUUUUUGAAAGCUUGCCUUGAAAGAGACG